GUACACUCCUACGGGAGGCAGCAGUGGGGAAUUUUGGACAAUGGGCGAAAGCCUGAUCCAGCAAUGCCGCGUGUGUGAAGAAGGCCUUCGGGUUGUAAAGCACUUUUGUCCGGAAAGAAAUCCUUGGCUCUAAUACAGUCGGGGGAUGACGGUACCGGAAGAAUAAGCACCGGCUAACUACGUGCCAGCAGCCGCGGUAAUACGUAGGGUGCGAGCGUUAAUCGGAAUUACUGGGCGUAAAGCGUGCGCAGGCGGUUUGCUAAGACCGAUGUGAAAUCCCCGGGCUCAACCUGGGGACUGCAUUGGUGACUGGCAGGCUAGAGUAUGGCAGAGGGGGGUAGAAUUCCAGGUGUAGCAGUGAAAUGCGUAGAGAUGUGGAGGAAUACCGAUGGCGAAUGCAGCCCCCUGGGCCAAUACUGACGCUCAUGCACGAAAGCGUGGGGAGCAAACAGGAUUAGAAACCCUUGUAGUCCCAUGA
rnacentral:rRNA from 1 species